UUUUAUUCACAUUUUGUUCAUGUUAACCGUAGUUCAUUAUUCACAUUUUGUUCAUGUUAACAUAGUUCAUUAUUCACCUUUUGUUCAUGUUAACUGUAGUUCAUUAUUCACAUUUUGUUCAUGUUAACCAUAGUUCAUUAUUCACAUUUUGUUCAUGUGAAAAUAGUUCAUUAUUCACAUUUUGUUCGUGUUAACUGUAGUUCAUUAUUCACAUUUUGACAGACUUUUACAGGUAAUGACAAGGACAAGAAAUACAGUUCACUGCAUCUGUCAGUUUCUUAUUUACAUUGUUUACUGUUAUGUUCAGACACUUUUUUCAUAUUAUGUUGACAGGAGUAUUUUAUUGUUCCCAAAUCAUUGAUGAACAGUAUUUCUGAAGUAAGAAUAUCUGAUGCAUCUAUAUACCUAGUAGGGGAGCCUAAUGUUAAAGUAUCUGCUAGCCACGCAGAAUACCCAGGUUCGAUUCCCACAUGGGUACAAUGUGUCAAGCCCAUUUCUGGUGUCCCCUGCCGUGAUAUUGCUGGAAUAUUGCUAAAAGCGGCAUCUCACUCACUAUACACCUUACAGAUUAGUACAAAAUGUUUACUGGUUCUACAUAACACAGAAGCCUUGCUGUGUCUGGUACAGCCCCUGUCUCAGCCUCUGUCUCAAUAUGUAAGUUGUAGCCGACUCUCUGUGCAAUACCUGUUGUCCUGUAUGUAUACAACAUCAUAUAAGGCUCAAAAGAAAGUUUCUGUGCAAUAACGUUUGAGUAGAAUUUUCAAGAUGUCCAUCCAGAGAAUCUGUAUGAAAUCGAAAUCAGCCUGAGAUAUGACAAAAUGGAGGAGUGGGGAGUUAGUUGUGGCAGUCCUGAGUCUUACUGUGUAGUCAUCAUCAUCAUCAUCAUCAUCAUCAUCAUCAUCAUCAUCAUCAUCAUCAUGUUCUUUUGUUGGUGGGUGUUUGGGUUGGAUUUAACUGUACUAGAAUGUGGAUUGAUUAUAUACUGUACACUAGAUUACAUGCUGUUCAUGAUUAUAUACUGUACACUAGAUUAUAUGCUGUUCAUGAAUAUAUACUGUACACUAGAUUAUAUAUUGUUCAUGAUUAUAUACUGAACACUAGAUACAAUGUUGUUCAUGAUUAUAUACUGUACACUAGAUUAUAUGUUGUUCAUGAUUAUAUACUGUACACUAGAUUAUAUGUUGUUCAUGAUUAUAUACUGAACACUAGAUUAUAUGUUGUUCAUGAUAAUUUACUGAACACUAGAUAUGUUGUUCAUGAUUAUAUACUGUACACUAGAUUAUAUGCUGUUCAUGAUUAUAUACUGAACAGCAGAUAUAAUGUUGUUCAUGAUUAUAUACUGAACACUAGAUACAAUGUUGUUCAUGAUUAUAUACUGUACACUAGAUUAUAUGUUGUACACUCAAUUAAAUAGUGUAUCCUAGAUUAUUUGUUUUACAUUAUAUCAGCAUGUUUUCCUUGUUAUUGCCUUUACAUUGAUGUUAGCAUGUUAUGAAUACUUAUAGUAUAUAUACUCACAGACAAAAGUAACUGUUCACAUGACCUAUAUAUUUAUCACAACUUACUUUUAAACUCACCAUACUCUCAUACCCUCAGCCUUUGAACAAUUGAUGCUAUACUGAGGGAAACAAAUAAGGGAACACCACUUCAUGGCAGUGUUCCUUUAUUUAUUCUCAGGUUUCCUCCCACAACUCGUGAUGAAAACUGGAAAAUAUUUAAGGAACGCUUGAAUUUCCUGUGUUCCUUAAUUUGUUUCUCUCAGUAUAUUUGGUGUUGAGAAAGGCUGCAUGCAGGACCGUCAGAUUACCAAACUAUUACUUUUUUGUUUCAAGUUAAAAUUUAGAUUUAUUUCAAUUCAAUUAUUAUUAAAUUCAAA